rnacentral:rRNA from 9 species
CUUUAUUGGAGAGUUUGAUCCUGGCUCAGGAUGAACGCUGGCGGCGUGCCUAAUACAUGCAAGUCGAGCGAAU